GACGAACGCUGGCGGCGUGCUUAACACAUGCAAGUCGAACGGAAAGGCCCUGCUUUUGUGGGGUGCUCGAGUGGCGAACGGGUGAGUAACACGUGAGUAACCUGCCCUUGACUUUGGGAUAACUUCAGGAAACUGGGGCUAAUACCGGAUAGGAGCUCCUGCUGCAUGGUGGGGGUUGGAAAGUUUCGGCGGUUGGGGAUGGACUCGCGGCUUAUCAGCUUGUUGGUGGGGUAGUGGCUUACCAAGGCUUUGACGGGUAGCCGGCCUGAGAGGGUGACCGGCCACAUUGGGACUGAGAUACGGCCCAGACUCCUACGGGAGGCAGCAGUGGGGAAUAUUGCACAAUGGGCGGAAGCCUGAUGCAGCAACGCCGCGUGCGGGAUGACGGCCUUCGGGUUGUAAACCACUUUCGCCUGUGACGAAGCGUGAGUGACGGUAAUGGGUAAAGAAGCACCAGCUAACUACGUG
rnacentral:rRNA from 1 species